rnacentral:rRNA from 1 species
UACGUAGGGGGCAAGCGUUGUCCGGAAUCAUUGGGCGUAAAGAGCGUGUAGGCGGCUCGGUAAGUCCGCUGUGAAAGUCCAGGGCUCAACCCUGGAAUGCCGGUGGAAACUGUCGAGCUAGAGUCCGGAAGAGGCGAGUGGAAUUCCUGGUGUAGCGGUGAAAUGCGCAGAUAUCAGGAGGAACACCUAUGGCGAAGGCAGCUCGCUGGGACGUUACUGACGCUGAGACGCGAAAGCGUGGGGAGCAAACAGG